rnacentral:rRNA from 1 species
AUUGAACGCUGGCGGAAUGCUUUACACAUGCAAGUCGAACGGCAGCACGGGGGCAUCCCUGGUGGCGCGUGGCGAACGGGUGAGUAAUACACCCGAACGUGCCCUGCCGUGGGGGCUAACGUAGCGAAAGUUACGCUGAUACCGCACCCGAUCUGAUGAUGAACGCGGGGGACCUUCGGUCCUCGCGCGAUCGGAGCGGCCGGUGUCAGAUUAGGUAGUUGGUGGGGUAAAGGCCUACCAAGCCGACGAUCUGUAGCUGGUCUGAGAGGACGACCAGCCACACUGGGACUGAGACACGGCCCAGACUCCUACGGGAGGCAGCAGUGGGGAAUUUUGGACAAUGGGCGCAAGCCUGAUGCAGCAAUUCCGCGUGAAGGACGAAGGCCUUCGGGUUGUAAAAUGCUUUUGUAAGGAAAGAAAAGGCUCUGACUAAUACCUGGGGCUCAUGACGGUACCGAAAGAAUAAGCACCGGCUAACUACGUG